UGCCAGACUCCUACGGGAGGCAGCAGUAGGGAAUAUUGCUCAAUGGGGGAAACCCUGAAGCAGCAACGCCGCGUGGAGGAUGAAGGUUUUCGGAUUGUAAACUCCUUUUGUUAGAGAAGAUAAUGACGGUAUCUAACGAAUAAGCACCGGCUAACUCCGUGCCAGCAGCCGCGGUAAUACGGAGGGUGCAAGCGUUGUCCGGAAUCAUUGGGCGUAAAGAGUUCGUAGGUGGCAUAUUAAGUCUGGUGUUAAAUGCAGAAGCUCAACUUCUGUUCGGCACUGGAUACUGGUAAGCUUGAAUGCGGUAGAGGUAAAGGGAAUUCCUGGUGUAGCGGUGAAAUGCGUAGAUAUCAGGAGGAACAUCGGUGGCGUAAGCGCUUUACUGGGCCGUAAUUGACACUGAGGAACGAAAGCCGGGGUAGCAAAUGGGAUUAGAUACCCCAGUA
rnacentral:rRNA from 1 species